AUGCAGUCGACGAGAAGUGGAGCAAUCCAUGAGUACAGUGGCGUACGGGUGAGUAACACGUGGGUAAUCUGCCUUUUAGUGAGGAAUAACCCUGGGAAACCGGGGCUAAUACCGCAUGAGCCCGAGAGGGGAAAGCAGAAAUGCGCUGAAAGAGGAGCCCGCGGCCGAUUAGCUAGUUGGUGAGGUAAGAGCCCACCAAGGCAGAGAUCGGUAGCCGGCCUGAGAGGGCACACGGCCACACUGGCACUGAAACACGGGCCAGACUCCUACGGGAGGCAGCAGUGGGGAAUCUUGCACAAUGGGGGAAACCCUGAUGCAGCGACGCCGCGUGAGCGAUGAAGCCCUUCGGGGUGUAAAGCUCUUUCGUCAGGGAAGAUAGUGACGGUACCUGGAGAAGCAGCUGCGGCUAACUACGUGCCAGCAGCCGCGGUAAUACGUAGGCAGCAAGCGUUGUUCGGAGUUACUGGGCGUAAAGGGUGUGUAGGCGGUUCUUUAAGUUUGGUGUGAAAUCUCCCGGCUUAACCGGGAGGGUGCGCCGAAUACUGAGGGACUAGAGUACGGGAGAGGAAAGUGGAAUUCCUGGUGUGGCGGUGAAAUGCGUAGAUAUCAGGAGGAACACCGGUGGUGUAGACGGCUUUCUGGACCGUAACUGACGCUGAGACACGAAAGCGUGGGUAGCAAACAGGAUUAGAUACCCUGGUAGUCCACGCCCUAAACGAUGCAUAUUUGGUGUGGGCAGUUCAUUCUGUCUGUGCCGGAGCUAACGCGUUAAAUAUGCCGCCUGGGGAGUACAGUCGCAAGGCUGAAACUCAAAGGAAUUGACGGGGGGCCCGCACAAGCGGUGGAGCAUGUGGUUCAUUUCGACGCAACGCGAAGAACCUUACCUGGGCUCGAACGGCUUCUCACCGUCGGUGAAAUACCGAUACCCGCAAGGGGGUGGGAGUCAAGAUGCUACAUGAGCUGUC
rnacentral:rRNA from 1 species